rnacentral:rRNA from 1 species
ACGCUCGACACCUACGAGGCAGCAGUCGGGAAUAUUGCGCAAUGGAGGAAACUCUGACGCAGUGACGCCGCGUGCAGGAAGAAGGUUUUCGGAUUGUAAACUGCUUUAGACAGGGAAGAACAAAUGACAGUACCUGUAGAAUAAGCUCCGGCUAACUACGUGCCAGNCGCGAUCUNGNGGCGUGCGAGNG